UACGUAGGGUGCGAGCGUUAAUCGGAAUUACUGGGCGUAAAGUGUGCGCAGGCGGCCGCGCAUGUCGAGUGUGAAAGCCCCGGGCUUAACUUGGGAAUUGCGCUCGAAACUACGUGGCUGGAGUGUGGCAGAGGAAGGUGGAAUUCCACGUGUAGCGGAUGAAAUGCGUAGGAGAUGUGGAGGAACACCAAUGGCGAAGGCAGCCUUCUGGGCCAACACUGACGCUCAUGCACGAAAGCGUGGGGAGCAAACAGGA
rnacentral:rRNA from 1 species